AUACAUAUAUAUAUAUAUACAUACAUACAUUAUGUAUGUACAUACACACACAUAUACACAUGCAUAUAAUUUGAUUAAAUGAAAUCUAAAAUCAAAAGCUAUAUUUCAUGCUUAGCAUAAAAGUGUAUAGUAAUCUAUAUAGAAAGAAAGUAACAUGAAUUACAAGACAUUAUUUAGACUACUCAUUGUUUCUAGGUGUAAAGACUAUUUGUCAGUCCCCAUCAAAUCUGGGCCUCAUAAAGUGCCUUUACAGCACAAAUCUGUUAGUAGCCUACUUUAGUCUGAAAUUCAAGUUACAUUAUCUGUGUGUAUGUAUCUAUAUCUAUCUAUCCAUACACACACAUACACACACACACACACACACACACACACACACACACACACACACACACACACACACACACACACACACGCAUGUAGCUUGUUUUCAAACUUAGAUUUCCACUCAGCAUGUCUACUAGAUUAUGCCAUCACUUCUUAUGAAUUUGUAGACUGGCAAAAAACAUGCCGGUAUCUAUUGAUUUGUAUAAUUGUAUACAUAUACAAAUGAUUAUAUUGAUGUGUGUAUGUUUUGUGCACGUAAUGAUUGAAAAUGCAAAUGAGCUUGAUGUUGAUGGUGGUUGUAAUUGAUGCUAAUAAUGGUGAUGGCCAUAAUGAUAGAAUAGACUUUGGCAAACUCUGAACUUACUGAGCUUGGAGCCAAAUAAGUACAAGUCAUUUUGGAGGAGAAUUUCAUUGUCUUAUCAACUUCAUCAAAAUCAAAUUGCUAUCAUCUUUAAGUGUUUCAAUUAAUUCUUGAACUACUUUUAAGAGCUAUUUAGUACAUUUAUCCUUAUUACUACUGUUGUUGGCAUUUUCAAUUUGUUUUGUGGUUCUUAGUGUUCCUAAAUGCAUUUUCCCACUUUAUUUUCUACUGAGAACCAGAGCAUUGUAAUUAAUUCAAAUAUUUUGGAAAUAUAUUCUUCAAUAAACCAGGACAUACAUAAAUGAUUGCGAAGCUGCAGACCUGGCAUUACUGAACUAUUAAGCAUAGACUUAGGAAUAUCUAUCUAUCAAUCUCUUCCCCCCACCUCCCAUCCCUCUUUCUGUCCAUAUUAUUUAAUUUCAUUUAUAUAGCUUUCUCUGUAAGGAAUUCUUAUCAGAUGUUGAAUGGCGAUUUCCUUUGAUUCUGCAUCUGUCAAUACUAUCCUAUCUUUUGGAGGUACCAUAUACUAUGAUGCUUCAUAAGAAAAUAUGAUAAUUAAAUAUGGUUGCUUGUUAACAAACUAGAGAGCGGUCAUCAGUAAAAUCCUUGAUAAUUAUAAGGAAGAUUA